CCUACGGGUGGCAGCAGUGGGGAAUAUUGGACAAUGGGCGAAAGCCUGAUCCAGCCAUGCCGCGUGUGUGAAGAAGGCCUUCGGGUUGUAAAGCACUUUCAGUGGGGAAGAAAGCCUUGGGGCUAAUACCCUCGAGGAAGGACAUCACCCACAGAAGAAGCACCGGCUAACUCCGUGCCAGCAGCCGCGGUAAUACGGAGGGUGCGAGCGUUAAUCGGAAUUACUGGGCGUAAAGCGCGCGUAGGCGGUCUGAUAAGCCGGUUGUGAAAGCCCCGGGCGCAACCUGGGAACGGCAUCCGGAACUGUCAGGCUAGAGUGCAGGAGAGGAAGGUAGAAUUCCCGGGGUAGCGGUGAAAUGCGUAGAGAUCGGGAGGAAUACCAGUGGCGAAGGCGGCCUUCUGGACUGACACUGACGCUGAGGUGCGAAAGCGUGGGUAGCAAACAGGAUUAGAUACCCUUGUAGUC
rnacentral:rRNA from 1 species